rnacentral:lncRNA from 1 species
UAAAACUAGUUACUUUAUAUCUAGGCUCAAAUACAAAAAAAAAUAGUUAAAAAUAAAGGAGUAUUUAUUAUUGGAAGUCGAGGGUAUGGAAUGAUUUAGUUGCAAUGAUUCAAAUGAGUCACAAUUCUGUGUCUUGCUUUUGAGUCCGUGGAAUGUUAUAUAGGAAAAGACCAAUGAGAAGGACAACACUGCCGAGAAGGAAAAAAGGGCUCAAACUUGAACCUUGUGGGAAAUAUGGCAGUGGCAUGGAGAGAAGAUACAUUGACAAAGGCACUACAUAAGAAAAGAGGAAAAAGAACCUGGUUGGCCAUAGGACUACAUAAAAUUCAAAUGUAAUCGACACCUCUAAGCAUUGUGUGCAGAGUGUCUGCAAGAGAGCGAGAGAGAACCUGAUGACAUCACACCAAGGGAUGAAAUUACAGUAGAUGAAAUCUUCAUAAGAUUGAGAGCUGAUAUGUUGAAAGCAAUAUUUGUAAAUAUGUAAGAAGGGGUAGCAACGGUGCUCCAUCACAACCUGACCAAUAAAAGGUGCCAAAAGAACAGUCAGACUCAUCAAUUCAUUACCUUGGGAAAAAUAUUUCUAACUUGAUAAUCGUGUCUUCACAUCUAUAAUGGGAUAAGACAACUAAAAUUUUGUUUGGAUUACAUCACAACUGUUGAAACUAAUAUUUGCUCAUGAAAUGAACAUUAUACCAGCAGUAUAUGGCCUAUUUGAGAAAUUGCCUGAAAAUUGUGAUUUCAUUCUUGUUGCGAUUUCACUUAUAAAGUACGGCUAUGGACCAAAUCCUGAGAGACACAUACUAAUUGAGUUGCAACCAACAUUAAGUUUUAAAAACCAAUUUCUAUGCUUGGUUUUUAUUAUUCCAGUACCCCAAGUUCUAUGGACAGUAUAAUAAUGUAAGUACAGCAACCUCCUAACAACUAACAAGUACAUAUAUUCAUAUUUGACUAGAUUUUGAAUAAAAUUUUAAAGAUUUGACUUAAAAAAUUUGUUUGACUAUAAAAUUUGACCAGAUUUUAAAAAUCUAACCUUUAAAUAAUUUCAAGAUCAUAAGAACUAUCUCAGACCAUUUUUAGGUUCUUAGGACUUUCACGCA